CAUGAAGCUGGAAUUGCUGUAAUGGCAGGUCAGCAUACUGCCGUGAAUACGUUCCCCGGGGCCCUUGUACACACCGCCCGUCACACCAUGAGAGUUGGGAAUACCCGAAGCCUGUGAGCUAACUUUUAGAGGCAGCAGUCGAAGGUAGAAUCAAUGAUUGGGGGUGAAGUCGUAACAAGGUAGC
rnacentral:rRNA from 1 species